UACGAAGGGGGCUAGCGUUGCUCGGAAUCACUGGGCGUAAAGCGCACGUAGGCGGAUCUUUAAGUCAGGUGUGAAAUCCUGGAGCUCAACUCCAGAACUGCCUUUGAUACUGGGGAUCUCGAGUCCGGAAGAGGUGAGUGGAACUCCGAGUGUAGAGGUGAAAUUCGUAGAUAUUCGGAGGAACACCAGAAGCGAAGGCGGCCAACUGGCCCGAUACUGACGCUGAGGCGCGAAAGCGUGGGGAGCAAACAGG
rnacentral:rRNA from 1 species